rnacentral:lncRNA from 1 species
CAAGACAGCACCGGGUUUCACACUGGCAAGGCAGGAGGCUGUGUGCUGCCAGAACGACCAGCAGGGGGCGCAAAGGCCACUCCAGGCACCUGCUGGCCUCAGAGAAAACAGAAAGGAAACCAGGAAGCCCACUCCUGCUGUCCUUUCUCUGCAAGGAAAUGUGCCAGGACACUGCAGCCCAGACAGUCGGCAGUAGAGGACCCAUGAAGUAUCUUUGUGCAAAGAAAGCAGCAAAGAGAAUUAAGAGAACUGCAUCAUAUAAAGAGUGAAUUAAACCAUCUAAAGGAGCAAAAAGUCAUCAUCACAUGGACAAGAAAUUAAGACGUAACAUCCAUCUCACUAUUUGCAAAGUGGCUUAUUCCUACAGACAAUGCAGAUAUGUAAAAAGCUGGAAACCUAGGAGCAGAAGCCCAGCAUAAAGAUUUCUGAAAUCCUGGAUGCGUGGAUUCCUCUCUUAUUUCCCAAAACCGUGGGGUGGAAAU